GUGGUAACAUUCACAUUAAGAAUGGUAUGGGUAUAAUUCUAUUUCCAGAAGAAUGUAUCCCACACCGAUAAAGGUGAUAUCGCGUAAGCGAUUUUAGCGCUUCCGGUUUCGUUGAGGGAAGUGUGAACUGAAAUAAUGUGACAAUGAACGAAGGAGAGACCCAUGCAGGUCAGCAGAAGGCAGUUCUUUAAG
rnacentral:sRNA from 17 species